rnacentral:lncRNA from 1 species
GCAAAUGCUGUGAGCAAAUAAAUGGUCAAAUUUCCCAAUGAACUGUAUACUUAUAUAUUUUAAGAACAUUCUAUAUAUUCCCUUCAGUAACUAUAUUGUACCAAAGAAAAUGGCUCAUGAAUACAAAAAAUUGAAUAUAAACAGGAAGUUCUUUGUUCAUGUUGUUGGAGGCAAACGGAAUAAAGCUAACUUGAAACUCUAAAAUGCUUUUAGAGAGAUAUCAGAUGGAAGAGUGUGCAUAUCUAGUUAUUCGAAGUAUGCCUAUGUAUGAAUUGAUGUAGUCAGAGAAAUCAGAUGGCUUCAGUGACUAUGCUACAGGAUGAUAUGAGAUCACAGACAGAAAGUCCAUCAAGGAUCAAGCAUAAAUUACAGAAUAUUUCAUCUAUAAUUUAAAUGGCUGGAAUGAAGUUCCUGACACUGGUGAUGGUUUUGGAAAAGCAAAGAGACAUUCUGAUGCCACCUUGUAUUGAGCCUACGAUACUCCAAAAAUUUUCUAUCAAAUUAUUUUGAUAUUUAAUAUAUCUUUUAGUUUAAUUUUCAAGUUUAAGCUAAGUAAAUUUUUAUUUUUCUUAACCACAGAUGUAAAAGCUGCUGGCAGAUGUGUUAUUCCCCUUUGAAUUUUAUACUUUUUGUGUUUCUGAAACCCAACCCUGUCUCAAUAUUUUAUUAAAAUAAUUUUGUAAUAAUAUUUCUUUUUUUUGUUCUUUCCACUUUUCCUCAGUGCCAGGCCUAAUUCAGAAAUGCCAAAGAUUUUCAAUCUUUUUCUAGGUUGCAAU